rnacentral:SRP_RNA from 13 species
GCCGGGCGCGGUGGCGCGUACCUGUAGUCCCAGCUACUCGGGAGGCUGAGGCUGGAGGAUCGCUUGAGUCCAGGAGUUCUGGGCUGUAGUGCGCUAUGCCGAUCGGGUGUCCGCACUAAGUUCGGCAUCAAUAUGGUGACCUCCCGGGAGCGGGGGACCACCAGGUUGCCUAAGGAGGGGUGAACCGGCCCAGGUCGGAAACGGAGCAGGUCAAAACUCCCGUGCUGAUCAGUAGUGGGAUCGCGCCUGUGAAUAGCCACUGCACUCCAGCCUGGGCAACAUAGCGAGACCCCGUCUCUU